AAUAUUAAAGAUAAAAACACAGUUCUGGUCGGUAGUCCAGACGCAGUUUUGUACUGUCAGUAACCUGCCUCCUAAGGUUGUCCAUUCUUUGUCAGUAUUUU
rnacentral:ncRNA from 1 species